AUUGAACGCUGGCGGCAUGCUUUACACAUGCAAGUCGAACGGCAGCGCGGGCUUCGGCCUGGCGGCGAGUGGCGAACGGGUGAGUAAUGCAUCGGAACGUGCCCAGUAGUGGGGGAUAGCCCGGCGAAAGCCGGAUUAAUACCGCAUACGACCUGAGGGUGAAAGCGGGGGACCGAAAGGCCUCGCGCUAUUGGAGCGGCCGAUGUCGGAUUAGCUAGUUGGUGGGGUACAGGCUUACCAAGGCGACGAUCCGUAGCUGGUCUGAGAGGACGACCAGCCACACGGGGACUGAGACACGGCCCAGACUCCUACGGGAGGCAGCAGUGGGGAAUUUUGGACAAUGGGGGCAACCCUGAUCCAGCCAUGCCGCGUGAGGGAAGAAGGCCUUCGGGUUGUAAACCGCUUUUGUUCGGGAAGAAAUCCUCUGGGCUAAUACCCCGGGGGGAUGACGGUACCGGAAGAAUAAGCACCGGCUAACUACGUG
rnacentral:rRNA from 1 species